UACGGAGGGGGCUAGCGUUGUUCGGAAUUACUGGGCGUAAAGCGCACGUAGGCGGCUUUGUAAGUUAGAGGUGAAAGCCCAGGGCUCAACCCUGGAAAUUGCCUUUAAGACUGCAUCGCUUGAAUCAUGGAGAGGUGAGUGGAAUUCCGAGUGUAGAGGUGAAAUUCGUAGAUAUUCGGAAGAACACCAGUGGCGAAGGCGGAUCUCUGGGCCAUUACUGACGCUGAGGAGCGAAAGCGUGGGGAGCGAACGAGG
rnacentral:rRNA from 1 species